rnacentral:rRNA from 1 species
UACGUAGGGCGCAAGCGUUGUCCGGAAUUAUUGGGCGUAAAGAGCUCGUAGGCGGUCCGUCACGUCUGCCGUGAAAACCCGAGGCUUAACCUCGGGCCUGCGGUGGAUACGGGCGAACUAGAGGUAGGUAGGGGAGAACGGAAUUCCCGGUGUAGCGGUGAAAUGCGCAGAUAUCGGGAGGAACACCGGUGGCGAAGGCGGUUCUCUGGGACGGUACUGACGCUGAGACGCGAAAGCGUGGGGAGCGAACAGG